GGGGGGGGGCCGGCCGGCCACUGCGUACAAGUGAGACAAAGUCAGGGCCACAGCGAGGGGAAGUGUGAGUUCAUCGCACCGAAGAAUCUCCUCAAUAGACUUCUGCGGCCAUCACAAGAUGUUUAGCGGGAGGUUUUCUGGUAGAACACUGGCUCCGUAAUACUAAGUCGAUGCUGGAUUUACGGGAGCACUGAUUUGCAAGGCAUUGUGGGAGAAAGGUACACAGGUAUAUACCUCAAGGAUCCCUGACCCGAGGAGUUUACCAACCGAUGGGGAGAUUAAGAGACCAGAAAUUAUCUUCAAAUCCUACUUUGAUUUGUAAAAUGAGACUCCUGAACUUUUGGGUUCUUCAAGAUACUAAAACUCUCCUCCUUAACUUCUCCCACCGAUCUCAACCAAAAAAAAAAAAAAAAAAAAAUCUCGUACAGAGACAGUAACAGUGGUCAAAAUAUAUUUUGGGAUGCUGACAGGAAUGUGGGGUUACUGGAAGAAGCACUGGACUAGGAUUCCAAGACUUGAGCUUCUAGUCCUGGCCAAGCCUCUUAAUCGCCUAUGACCUUAGAAGAAACCUGGAUUCUUUCUAAACCUCCCCUGUCAGACAGGGAUAAUUAAUGCCUACCUUUACGAGGUCAAUGAGGGAAUGAUGUAAAAAUACCCUGACAAUGAUGAUACCAUUCAAAUAGAAGUGUAUUUUUCAAAAUA